rnacentral:rRNA from 1 species
AGAGUUUGAUCCUGGCUCAGAACGAACGCUGGCGGCAGGCUUAACACAUGCAAGUCGAACGCCCCGCAAGGGGAGUGGCAGACGGGUGAGUAACGCGUGGGAAUCUACCCAGAUCUUCGGAACAACUGAGGGAAACUUCAGCUAAUACCGGAUACGCUACGGGGGAAAGAUUUAUCGGUUCUGGAUGAGCCCGCGUUGGA